UUUUGGGUUCUGGUUUUUCA
rnacentral:siRNA from 1 species